ACCAAUCCCCAUCCCGCACCAGCACAUAUGACAGAACCUAUUUGGAAUUCUUUUACAGGAUGCGCUAGCUAAUGCAGAUAAGCUCUGUGGCAUCAAUUCACCCUCCAGAAGAAACCCAAAUAGCAACACAGGACGAAGGUCAAGGAUUAACUGAUGCUAAUGGAAAUGUUCCCAGUGACCGUCCAGAAAAAAUAUCGUAUCCCAGCUGAUGAGGCCGGCACAUGAUGACAACACUACAAGGCACCAAGAAAAUUGAUGCGAUGGCCUGUCUUAAGUUGGCUUCCUCUAUUGGUCUUUUAUCUGACAAGACACCUUUGGCAAAGUCUCAUCAAUAUGCUACUUUUCAUCUGCCUGACACUGAAAUCAAUGGACUGCAGAAGAAGCCUCUCGAUCAGCAUUGUCAGAAAUGAUCACCAGCUGGACGGAGCAUGCUACCUGAUUUCUAAGCAUGGCUGCAAAUCCCAGAGAAAGAAGAAAGAGAACUUACAUAAAGGAG
rnacentral:lncRNA from 1 species